rnacentral:rRNA from 1 species
AUGGUAGAAGCUUUCAUGAUUACUGGUAUAAUGAUCAUCGCGGCUGGUUGGAAUAUAGCAUUGAAAAAAAAGCAGCCUUUUGCUUUUAUUAUUUUCUAUUUAAGCAACCAAGAGCUGCAAACUAUGGUGUUGAGGCAUUCACGAAAAAUGGAUUUAAAUCUUGGAAGGAUGGACCUAAAGUUUUUAAUCAGCAUGUUGGCAAGCAUGAUAGUGCUCAUAAUAAAUCUAGACAACAUUAUGAUGAUUUCAAAAAUAAAAGACAAAAUCUGCCACAUGUGUUUGAUAGGGGUUCUAGGAAGAGAGAAGAAGAAUACAAAGCUCGUCUCUUCAUUAUAUUGGGUAUUGUCAAAUUUUUUACACUACAAGCUCUUGCUUUUCGUGGUCAUGAUGAGUCUGCUAGCUCAAUGA